UAGCUAGUUGGUGGGGUAAGGGCCUACCAAGGCGACGAUCGGUAGCUGGUCUGAGAGGAUGACCAGCCACACUGGAACUGAGACACGGUCCAGACUCCUACGGGAGGCAGCAGUGGGGAAUAUUGGACAAUGGGGGCAACCCUGAUCCAGCAAUGCCGCGUGUGUGAAGAAGGCCUGAGGGUUGUAAAGCACUUUCAGUGGGGAGGAGGGUUGAUAGGUUAAGAGCUGAUUAACUGGACGUUACCCACAGAAGAAGCACCGGCUAACUCCGUGCCAGCAGCCGCGGUAAUACGGAGGGUGCGAGCGCUAAUCGGAAUUACUGGGCGUAAAGGGUGCGUAGGUGGUUGAUUAAGUUAUCUGUGAAAUUCCUGGGCUUAACCUGGGACGGUCAGAUAAUACUGGUUGACUCGAGUAUGGGAGAGGGUAGUGGAAUUUCCGGUGUAGCGGUGAAAUGCGUAGAGAUCGGAAGGAACACCAGUGGCGAAGGCGGCUACCUGGCCUAAUACUGACACUGAGGCACGAAAGCGUGGGGAGCAAACAGGAUUAGAUACCCUGGUAGUCCACGCUGUAAACGAUGUCAACUAGCUGUUGGUUAUAUGAAAAUAAUUAGUGGCGC
rnacentral:rRNA from 1 species